rnacentral:lncRNA from 1 species
GAGUGUCCUGCUUCUGGUCAAAGUGAGCCAUGUGAUGGAGGAACCAAGAAAAGCAACUUAUCUGGGAAUAGAAGUGCAAAUCAACUAGCCCAGGAACCACAGGAAUAUUCCAGAGCAAACACAAGCAAUGACAGGCUGCACGCCAGUGGGACUGAUGGAGAUGAGAGUGAAGAAGAUCCACCUGAGCAUAAGUCCAGCAAACUCAAGAGGAGCCACGAACUGGACAUUGAUGAAAACCCAGAUACAGACCUUAAUGACAAUGAUUCCUUUCUGGGAUUCAAGCAUGGCUCAGGACAAAAAUAUGGCAAAAUUCCAAAUUUUAGUCAUUG